GUGGAUAUAGCUCAGUGGUAGAGCACAUGCUUAGCAUGCAUGAGGUCCUGGGUUCAGUCCCCAGUCCCUCCA
rnacentral:tRNA from 1 species